rnacentral:lncRNA from 1 species
CUUCGAUAUAUGGCAGUAGAGAGAGACCUGAAAGAGGGGAGACAAAGUGAGCAGAGAAACAUGGAAAAGAUAGGGAAAUGAAGAAAGAAUGAGGGUUUUCUUUCUUUCUUUUGAAUGGGAAGGAGAUGUCAUUUUGGAUAGCCGACAUUAGGGUGCAGCCACCGCAGCCACAUCCUUUUCCGACUGACGGGAUCCCUAAUAUCAUGUCUCUUCACCCAUCCUUUGUUAUUAGUUUUAUUUUCAUUUUUAUUUUCUUAAAUAGCUGUUCAUCUUGAAAUGACCUUUCAUGAAAAUCAAUCAACUCAGCCUCAAUUUUUUUUUAAUCUUGACAUUUGUAGUUCAUGCACAAAAAGGAAAAUAUCGCAUCCAAUUAUUUUGAGAUGACUCAUCGAUGGGCUGCCUGUCUCUCCCCCAAAUUUAAUGUAACUCUAGCUAAGAAGCCAUCUCUUUCCGGUGCUCCCCUUCCCAUCCCUAUAAUUCCAUCUCAAUUGGAAGACUGUUACAUUG